ACCUGAAAUAGAGGCAUUGGUGGUCUCUAAAUUCCAUAAGUGCUUCUCUUUGGGGUUGUCUUGAU
rnacentral:pre_miRNA from 10 species